ACAUGUGAGGGCGAUCUGGUUGCGACAUCUGUCACCCCAUUGAUCGCCAGGGUUGAUUCGGCUGAUCUGGCUGGCUAGGCGGGUGUCCCCUUCCUCCCUCACCGCUCCAUGUGCGUCCCUCCCGAAGCUGCGCGCUCGGUCGAAGAGGACGACCAUCCCUGAUAGAGGAGGACCGGUCUUCGGUCAAGGGUAUACGAAUAGCUGCUGUAUUUUAAAAGAUAUCUUUCCUGAGACCUCCAGGCCAUACCCAUCUCUGUGGUGUCUGUAAGUCAGU
rnacentral:snRNA from 1 species